GACGAACGCUGGUGGCGUGCUUAACACAUGCAAGUCGAACGGGAACCUUUAUUUCGGUAAAGGUGAGAGUGGCAAACGGGUGAGUAACACGUAGGCAACCUGCCGACAGGAUGGGGACAACAUUCCGAAAGGAAUGCUAAUACCGAAUGGAGUCCGAGGAUGGCAUCAUCCACGGAUAAAAGAUGGCCUCUUAACAAUGCUAUCGCCUGUCGAUGGGCCUGCGUCUGAUUAGCCAGUUGGCGGGGUAAUGGCCCACCAAAGCGACGAUCAGUAGCCGGUCUGAGAGGACGAACGGCCACAUUGGGACUGAGACACGGCCCAGACUCCUACGGGAGGCAGCAGUGGGGAAUCUUCCACAAUGGGCGAAAGCCUGAUGGAGCAACGCCGCGUGAGUGAAGAAGGUCUUCGGAUCGUAAAGCUCUGUUGCACGGGACGAAAACCGAGCUUGAAAAUAUUGAGCUU
rnacentral:rRNA from 1 species